rnacentral:lncRNA from 1 species
CCGUACUUAAUAAAUUGUGCCACUUUGCCCAUUUUUGCCGGUUUUCAGGUCAAAAUGACCUGUUCUCAACCCAUGUGCGUUGCACAUGACAAAUCCAAGGGUAUUGACGUAUUUUCCAUUUUAAAAAUGGAAUAAAUAUUUUUUUUUUGAAAUGGAAUAAAAGUAAAAUAGAAUAAUUAAAAAAUAAAUAAAAAAAAUCUUCAUCUUGUUCCUUCAUCUUGUUCCCAGCAGCGAGCCCUGAAUUUUGAGAACCCACAGUCCGAAAACUUCGAACAAACCACCUACAUAAGUACUUUUCCGCCUUUGCAAUUCCAAGGAAGAUGCUGCUGCCGCACCAAUCUCACCACCCACUGCCCACCGGUGCACACCUCCGCCGCGCCAUGGGGUGGCCUCAAUUGUGAGAAGAUCAUCUAAUCCACCAUUCAUUGGAAGAAGAUCUAGUUGAUUCGGAGGAAGAAAUCGAGAGAAAAUAGUGUUCAUAUAACCCAAUUUCCGUAAAUACGAUUUUUGAAUCUGCUUCCUGGUGAUUGCUUCGACAUUUCGGAUUUCUGACAUUUGAAAUAUAACAAAUCUAGAUUCAAAACAUAACACCCAGUGAUAACAAAUCGGUUAACAAUUAGCAUUUCAAAACAAAUCUAGAUUCAAGCUUUAACAUUCAAGUUCUAAAUUAGCGAAACCCAGUCUACAUCACACAAACCCCGACCUAAAUCGAACAUGAACACACCAAAUUCGGCCAGAAUUGUGCCUAAAUCGCCAAAAAAACAACGCUACCUAGUCGAAAUCGCGAGCAAUUCACAUCAAAUCGAGCUUGAAUCACCCCAAAAUUGCGAUAGUAUGUAUUGAACAAAAUCGUGAUUUGGUAAGUAAUGUUCGAAUAGUUGUGGGAUUUUUCUCGAAGAAAUUGAAAAACAUGAAAGAGGGCCAAC